CGAUGAUGAUGAUGAUGAUGAUGAUGAUGAUGGUGGUGCUGAUGAUGAGUAUGCUCAUCAGCAGUAUCAUGAUCAUCAUCAUCAUCAUCAUCAUCG
rnacentral:pre_miRNA from 1 species